UUUAUGGAGAGUUUGAUCCUGGCUCAGGAUGAACGCUGGCGGCGUGCCUAAUACAUGCAAGUCGAGCGAACGGACGAGAAGCUUGCUUCUCUGAUGUUAGCGGCGGACGGGUGAGUAACACGUGGAUAACCUACCUAUAAGACUGGGAUAACUUCGGGAAACCGGAGCUAAUACCGGAUAAUAUUUUGAACCGCAUGGUUCAAAAGUGAAAGACGGUCUUGCUGUCACUUAUAGAUGGAUCCGCGCUGCAUUAGCUAGUUGGUAAGGUAACGGCUUACCAAGGCAACGAUGCAUAGCCGACCUGAGAGGGUGAUCGGCCACACUGGAACUGAGACACGGUCCAGACUCCUACGGGAGGCAGCAGUAGGGAAUCUUCCGCAAUGGGCGAAAGCCUGACGGAGCAACGCCGCGUGAGUGAUGAAGGUCUUCGGAUCGUAAAACUCUGUUAUUAGGGAAGAACAUAUGUGUAAGUAACUGUGCACAUCUUGACGGUACCUAAUCAGAAAGCCACGGCUAACUACGUGCCAGCAGCCGCGGUAAUACGUAGGUGGCAAGCGUUAUCCGGAAUUAUUGGGCGUAAAGCGCGCGUAGGCGGUUUUUUAAGUCUGAUGUGAAAGCCCACGGCUCAACCGUGGAGGGUCAUUGGAAACUGGAAAACUUGAGUGCAGAAGAGGAAAGUGGAAUUCCAUGUGUAGCGGUGAAAUGCGCAGAGAUAUGGAGGAACACCAGUGGCGAAGGCGACUUUCUGGUCUGUAACUGACGCUGAUGUGCGAAAGCGUGGGGAUCAAACAGGAUUAGAUACCCUGGUAGUCCACGCCGUAAACGAUGAGUGCUAAGUGUUAGGGGGUUUCCGCCCCUUAGUGCUGCAGCUAACGCAUUAAGCACUCCGCCUGGGGAGUACGACCGCAAGGUUGAAACUCAAAGGAAUUGACGGGGACCCGCACAAGCGGUGGAGCAUGUGGUUUAAUUCGAAGCAACGCGAAGAACCUUACCAAAUCUUGACAUCCUUUGACAACUCUAGAGAUAGAGCCUUCCCCUUCGGGGGACAAAGUGACAGGUGGUGCAUGGUUGUCGUCAGCUCGUGUCGUGAGAUGUUGGGUUAAGUCCCGCAACGAGCGCAACCCUUAAGCUUAGUUGCCAUCAUUAAGUUGGGCACUCUAAGUUGACUGCCGGUGACAAACCGGAGAAGGUGGGGAUGACGUCAAAUCAUCAUGCCCCUUAUGAUUUGGGCUACACACGUGCUACAAUGGACAAUACAAAGGGCAGCGAAACCGCGAGGUCAAGCAAAUCCCAUAAAGUUGUUCUCAGUUCGGAUUGUAGUCUGCAACUCGACUACAUGAAGCUGGAAUCGCUAGUAAUCGUAGAUCAGCAUGCUACGGUGAAUACGUUCCCGGGUCUUGUACACACCGCCCGUCACACCACGAGAGUUUGUAACACCCGAAGCCGGUGGAGUAACCUUUUAGGAGCUAGCCGUCGAAGGUGGGACAAAUGAUUGGGGUGAAGUCGUAACAAGGUAGCCGUAUCGGAAGGUGCGGCUGGAUCACCUCCUUU
rnacentral:rRNA from 1 species